UCGUCAGUGAGGUAUAUCCUUACCUGUUACUUCAGAAAUGAAGUUUCAGAACAUGAUGAAUGGAAUAUAAUGAGAGAUGAUUAUAUCUCCGGCAUGCGGGGAACUGCAACACCCCGCUUGCUCCAUUCUGAU